rnacentral:rRNA from 3 species
UGGGGUGGGGUGACUGCGUACCUUUUGUAUAAUGGGUCAGCGACUUAUAUUCUGUAGCAAGGUUAACCGAAUAGGGGAGCCGGAGGGAAACCGAGUCUUAAUUGGGCGUUAAGUUGCAGGGUAUAGACCCGAAACCCGGUGAUCUAGCCAUGGGCAGGUUGAAGGUUGGGUAACACUAACUGGAGGACCGAACCGACUAAUGUUGAAAAAUUAGCGGAUGACCUGUGGCUGGGGGUGAAAGGCCAAUCAAACCGGGAGAUAGCUGGUUCUCCCCGAAAGCUAUUUAGGUAGCGCCUCGUGAAUUCAUCUCCGGGGGUAGAGCACUGUUUCGGCUAGGGGGCCAUCCCGGCUUACCAACCCGAUGCAAACUGCGAAUACCGGAGAAUGUUAUCACGGGAGACACACGGCGGGUGCUAACGUCCGUCGUGAAGAGGGAAACAACCCAGACCGCCAGCUAAGGUCCCAAAGUCAUGGUUAAGUGGGAAACGAUGUGGGAAGGCCCAGACAGCCAGGAUGUUGGCUUAGAAGCAGCCAUCAUUUAAAGAAAGCGUAAUAGCUCACUGGUCGAGUCGGCCUGCGCGGAAGAUGUAACGGGGCUAAACCAU